rnacentral:rRNA from 1 species
GAGUUUGAUCCUGGCUCAGAUUGAGCGCUGGCGGCAUGCCUUACACAUGCAAGUCGAACGGCAGCACGGGAGCUUGCUCCUGGUGGCGAGUGGCGAACGGGUGAGUAAUGCAUCGGAACGUAUCCUGGAGUGGGGGAUAACGUAGCGAAAGUUACGCUAAUACCGCAUAUUCUGUGAGCAGGAAAGCGGGGACCUUCGGGCCUCGCGCUCUUGGAGCGGCCGAUGUCGGAUUAGCUAGUUGGUGAGGUAAAGGCUCACCAAGGCGACGAUCCGUAGCAGGUCUGAGAGGAUGAUCUGCCACACUGGAACUGAGACACGGUCCAGACUCCUACGGAGGCAGCAGUGGGGAAUUUGGACAAUGGGGCAACCCUGAUCCAGCCAUGCCGCGUGAGUGAAGAAGGCC